GACCCAGGUUGGAAGGGCGUCUGGCCUGUGAAGAAGAUUAUUAGAACCACAUUUAGGGUGCAAGUGACAUAUUGGAGUCAGUGUUACUUUGUCUACUCCCCCAGAGCCAGACAUAUUCUCCUCUGGCUUCAGAGUGAAAGGAAACUGCAGGAACAUCAGAUAAAGUUUCAACUCACUGGAAUUCCAGGCAUGGUGCUGCCUGCAUGUAAUGCAAUGAACAAGGCAAGAUCCGGACCUUGGUGGAUCCCAGGAAUGCAUCCAUCACAUUAUCGCUGCCAAGCUUGCCAGUCCCAAUCAUCAUUUUGAUGUUGUAUGGGCAGGAUAGGUGUUUCUGAUCCCAGCCCAUCAUCAAGUCUGAAAUCCCCACAUUUCACAGAAAUAAUAUUUCUGUUACAUGCAAGACAGGAAGGUAUUAAACACACCUCAAAUAGCUGAGGUUUGCAGAGUUACAUGUAGAAUUAUCCCAAGUGAAUAUACUAUUGUGUUUGGAUGAUAUUUGGACUACAGUGAAAGGCAGACAUUGUUUUCAGUAUCACAAAUUCCCCACCAAGUUCACUGUGUCAUCUAGUCAUCCUAUUUUAUAGAUACAGAAACAAGGAAAAAAUGGAAUUUAAA